rnacentral:misc_RNA from 1 species
UGUGGGAGCUGGCUUGCCUGCGAUGGCGGCGUGUCAUCCAGCACAUCUUUUUCUGACCCACCGCUAUCGCAGGCAAGCCAGCUCCCACA